rnacentral:rRNA from 1 species
GCCAGCAGCCAUAUCACCCACCCAUACAACUCACAGCUAGCAACCCACUGAAGCUAAGCGGGUGUGAGCCUGGUCAGUACCUGGAUGGAGACCACCUGGGAAAAACUAAAGUUGCUGCUUGAA